rnacentral:rRNA from 1 species
ACGGCUCAGUAACACGUGGAUAACCUGCCCUAAGGAAGGGGAUAACCUCGGGAAACUGAGGAUAAUACCCUAUAGGUUACAGACGCUGGAAUGCCCUGUAACCGAAAGUUCCGGCGCCUUAGGAUGGAUCUGCGGCCGAUUAGGUUGUUGUUGGGGUAACGGCCCAACAAGCCGAUAAUCGGUACGGGUUGUGGGAGCAAGAGCCCGGAGUUGGAUUCUGAGACAUGAAUCCAGGCCCUACGGGGCGCAGCAGGCGCGAAAACUUUACAAUGCGGGAAACCGUGAUAAGGGAACCCCGAGUGCCUGUAUAUGCAGGCUGUCCAGGUGUCUAAAAAACACCUGAAGAAAGGGCCGGGCAAGACCGGUGCCAGCCGCCGCGGUAAUACCGGCGGCUCGAGUGGUGGCCACUUUUAUUGGGCUUAAAGCGUUCGUAGCUGGGUUGUUAAGUCUCUUGGGAAAUCUGACGGCUCAACCGUCAGGCGUCCAAGGGAUACUGGCAAUCUUGGAACCGGGAGGGGUGAGGGGUACUUCGGGGGUAGGAGUGAAAUCCUGUAAUCCUCGAGGGACCACCUGUGGCGAAGGCGCCUCACCAGAACGGCUUCGACAGUGAGGGACGAAAGCUGGGGGAACAAACCGGAUUAGAUACCCGGGUAGUCCCAGCCGUAAACGAUGCGCGUUAGGUGUACCGGUGACCACGAGUCACCGAGGUGCCGAAGGGAAACCGUGAAACGUGCCGCCUGGGAAGUACGGUCGCAAGGCUGAAACUUAAAGGAAUUGGCGGGGGAGCAC